rnacentral:rRNA from 1 species
GAUGAGGAAUUAAGUGACUGGCUAGGUUACGCUGGCGGCGCGCAUAACACAUGCAAGUCGAGCGAGGGCUCAUUUCCCGCAAGGGAGAUGAGUUCCUAGCGGCGAACGGGUGAGUAACACGUGGGCAACCUUUCCUAUCGCGGGGGAUAACAGCGGGAAACCGCUGCUAAUACCGCAUGUCGUCACCGGUCGCAUGGCCGGUGAAGAAAGCAGCAAUGCACGAUGGGGUGGGCCCGCGGCCUAUCAGCUAGUCGGUGGGGUAACGGCCUACCGAGGCGAUGACGGGUAGCUGGUCUGAGAGGACGACCAGCCACACGGGGACUGAGACACGGCCCCGACUCCUACGGGAGGCAGCAGUGAGGAAUCUUCCGCAAUGGGCGCAAGCCUGACGGAGCGACGCCGCGUGUGGGAUGAAGUCCUUCGGGAUGUAAACCACUGUUGGAGGGGAAGAAAGCAAUGACGGUACCCUCCGAGAAAGCCCCGGCUAACUACGUGCCAGCAGCCGCGGUAAUACGUAGGGGGCUAGCGUUAUCCAGAUUCACUGGGCGUAAAGCGCGUGUAGGCGGCUGGUUAAGUGUGAUGUGAAAUCCCCGGGCUCAACCCGGGAACUGCGUCCGAUACUGGUGGGCUUGAAUCCGGGAGAGGGAUGCGGAAUUCCAGGUGUAGCGGUGAAAUGCGUAGAUAUCUGGAGGAACACCGGUGGCGAAGGCGGCAUCCUGGACCGGUAUUGACGCUGAGGCGCGAAAGCCAGGGGAGCAAACGGGAUUAGAUACCCCGGUAGUCCUGGCCCUAAACGAUGAUGCUGGUGUGCGGGUAUCGAUCCCUGCGUGCGAAGCUAACGCAUUAAGCAUUCCGCUGGGGGAGUACGGUCGCAAGGCUGAAA